AGCUAACGCAUUAAGCACUCCGCCUGGGGAGUACGGUCGCAAGAUUAAAACUCAAAGGAAUUGACGGGGGCUCGCACAAGCGGUGGAGCAUGCGGUUUAAUUCGAUGUUACGCGAAAAACCUUACCAACCCUUGACAUGGUGGUCGCGGAUCGCAGAGAUGCUUUUCUUCAGCUCGGCUGGACCACACACAGGUGUUGCAUGGCUGUCGUCAGCUCGUGUCGUGAGAUGUUGGGUUAAGUCCCGCAACGAGCGCAACCCUCAUUCUUAUUUGCCAGCGGAUAAUGCCGGGAACUAUAAGAAAACUGCCGGUAAUAAGCCGGAGGAAGGUGGGGACGACGUCAAGUCAUCAUGGUCCUUACGGGUUGGGCUACACGCGUGCUACAAUGGU
rnacentral:rRNA from 1 species